GUCUACGGCCAUACCACCCUGAACGCGCCCGAUCUCGUCUGAUCUCGGAAGCUAAGCAGGGUCGGGCCUGGUUAGUACUUGGAUGGGAGAUAACAGCGAUCUAAGACAGUUGGGGUAGGAA
ensembl:rRNA 5S_rRNA 5S ribosomal RNA